UACGAAGGGGGCUAGCGUUGCUCGGAAUCACUGGGCGUAAAGCGCACGUAGGCGGCUUUCUAAGUCAGGGGUGAAAUCCUGGAGCUCAACUCCAGAACUGCCUUUGAUACUGGAGAGCUUGAGUCCGGAAGAGGUGAGUGGAACUCCGAGUGUAGAGGUGAAAUGCGCAGAUAUCAGGAAGAACACCCGUGGCGAAGGCGGUUCUCUGGGACGGUACUGACGCUGAGACGCGAAAGCGUGGGGAGCGAACAGG
rnacentral:rRNA from 1 species